GAGCGGUAGAGAGAAGCUUGCUUCUCUUGAGAGCGGCGGACGGGUGAGUAAUGCCUAGGAAUCUGCCUGGUAGUGGGGGAUAACGUUCGGAAACGGACGCUAAUACCGCAUACGUCCUACGGGAGAAAGCAGGGGACCUUCGGGCCUUGCGCUAUCAGAUGAGCCUAGGUCGGAUUAGCUAGUUGGUGAGGUAAUGGCUCACCAAGGCGACGAUCCGUAACUGGUCUGAGAGGAUGAUCAGUCACACUGGAACUGAGACACGGUCCAGACUCCUACGGGAGGCAGCAGUGGGGAAUAUUGGACAAUGGGCGAAAGCCUGAUCCAGCCAUGCCGCGUGUGUGAAGAAGGUCUUCGGAUUGUAAAGCACUUUAAGUUGGGAGGAAGGGUUGUAGAUUAAUACUCUGCAAUUUUGACGUUACCGACAGAAUAAGCACCGGCUAACUCUGUGCCAGCAGCCGCGGUAAUACAGAGGGUGCAAGCGUUAAUCGGAAUUACUGGGCGUAAAGCGCGCGUAGGUGGUUUGUUAAGUUGGAUGUGAAAUCCCCGGGCUCAACCUGGGAACUGCAUUCAAAACUGACUGACUAGAGUAUGGUAGAGGGUGGUGGAAUUUCCUGUGUAGCGGUGAAAUGCGUAGAUAUAGGAAGGAACACCAGUGGCGAAGGCGACCACCUGGACUAAUACUGACACUGAGGUGCGAAAGCGUGGGGAGCGAACAGGAUUAGAUACCCUGGUAGUCCACGCCGUAAACGAUGUCAACUAGCCGUUGGAAGCCUUGAGCUUUUAGUGGCGCAGCUAACGCAUUAAGUUGACCGCCUGGGGAGUACGGCCGCAAGGUUAAAACUCAAAUGAAUUGACGGGGGCCCGCACAAGCGGUGGAGCAUGUGGUUUAAUUCGAAGCAACGCGAAGAACCUUACCAGGCCUUGACAUCCAAUGAACUUUCUAGAGAUAGAUUGGUGCCUUCGGGAACAUUGAGACAGGUGCUGCAUGGCUGUCGUCAGCUCGUGUCGUGAGAUGUUGGGUUAAGUCCCGUAACGAGCGCAACCCUUGUCCUUAGUUACCAGCACGUAAUGGUGGGCACUCUAAGGAGACUGCCGGUGACAAACCGGAGGAAGGUGGGGAUGACGUCAAGUCAUCAUGGCCCUUACGGCCUGGGCUACACACGUGCUACAAUGGUCGGUACAGAGGGUUGCCAAGCCGCGAGGUGGAGCUAAUCCCAUAAAACCGAUCGUAGUCCGGAUCGCAGUCUGCAACUCGACUGCGUGAAGUCGGAAUCGCUAGUAAUCGCGAAUCAGAAUGUCGCGGUGAAUACGUUCCCGGGC
rnacentral:rRNA from 1 species